GACGAACGCUGGCGGCGUGCCUAAUACAUGCAAGUUGAGCGAUGAAGAUUGGUGCUUGCACCAAUUUGAAGAGCAGCGAACGGGUGAGUAACGCGUGGGGAAUCUGCCUUUGAGCGGGGGACAACAUUUGGAAACGAAUGCUAAUACCGCAUAAUACCUUUAAACAUAAGUUUUAAGUUUGAAAGAUGCAAUUGCAUCACUCAAAGAUGAUCCCGCGUUGUAUUAGCUAGUUGGUGAGGUAAAGGCUCACCAAGGCGAUGAUACAUAGCCGACCUGAGAGGGUGAUCGGCCACAUUGGGACUGAGACACGGCCCAAACUCCUACGGGAGGCAGCAGUAGGGAAUCUUCGGCAAUGGACGAAAGUCUGACCGAGCAACGCCGCGUGAGUGAAGAAGGUUUUCGGAUCGUAAAACUCUGUUGGUAGAGAAGAACGUUGGUGAGAGUGGAAAGCUCAUCAAGUGACGGUAACUACCCAGAAAGGGACGGCUAACUACGUG
rnacentral:rRNA from 1 species